CCGAAAUCGAAAUUUAAUUACAUGGAGCAAACAAGCAAGUUUAAAAUUCUAAAUCAAGGCGUAUUUAAUAAGAUUUUUUGGUGAUGAUGAUGAUGACAUUUCAAGCAAACAUUUUUUUAAGUGAAAAAAAAUAUGUAACAGAUGACAAAAUCGACGACUGGAUCAAUAUGAAAAAAUAUGUUUAUAUGCGUUGGGUCCAAAUAACAAGGUUUGCACCUGUAGAAAGGACCUAUAAAAUGUGAAAUGUUUCGUUGAUGUUGACCAGACACUAAACACAUAAAUCUAGACUGACAUUAACUUUUAGUUGUCCGGGGAUUUUUUUUAGCACUUGUAACAAAAAAUCAAAUUAAUAAAAUAUGGACUAACGAAAAAUCACGGUUACCAAUAAAUAACUUAAACGAUAUCAUCAAAUUAAAUUGUAGCAUAAAUUUUUCAUGUCAAAA
rnacentral:sRNA from 1 species